AUUGAACGCUGGCGGCAGGCCUAACACAUGCAAGUCGAGCGGAUGAAGGGAGCUUGCUCCUGGAUUCAGCGGCGGACGGGUGAGUAAUGCCUAGGAAUCUGCCUGGUAGUGGGGGAUAACGUCCGGAAACGGGCGCUCAUACCGCAUACGUCCUGAGGGAGAAAGUGGGGGAUCUUCGGACCUCACGCUAUCAGAUGAGCCUAGGUCGGAUUAGCUAGUCGGUGGGGUAAAGGCCUACCAAGGCGACGAUCCGUAACUGGUCUAAGAGGAUGAUCAGUCACACUAGAACUGAGACACGGUCGAGACUCCUGCGGGGCGCAGCAGUGAGGAAUAUUGGACGAUGGGCGAAAGCCUGAUCCAGCCAUGCCGCGUGUGUGAAGAAGGUCUUCGGAUUUUAAAGCACUUUAAGUUGGGGGGAAGGGCAGUAAGUUAAUACCUUGCUGUUUUGACGUUACCAACAGAAUAAGCACCGGCUAACUUCGUG
rnacentral:rRNA from 1 species